GGGAACAUACCCUUUUCUACGGAAUAGCUCUGGGAAACUGGAAUUAAUACCGUAUACGCCCUACGGGGGAAAGAUUUAUCGGGGAAGGAUUGGCCCGCGUUGGAUUAGCUAGUUGGUGGGGUAAAGGCCUACCAAGGCGACGAUCCAUAGCUGGUCUGAGAGGAUGAUCAGCCACAUUGGGACUGAGACACGGCCCAAACUCCUACGGGAGGCAGCAGUGGGGAAUAUUGGACAAUGGGCGCAAGCCUGAUCCAGCCAUGCCGCGUGAGUGAUGAAGGCCUUAGGGUUGUAAAGCUCUUUCACCGAUGAAGAUAAUGACGGUAGUCGGAGAAGAAGCCCCGGCUAACUUCGUGCCAGCAGCCGCGGUAAUACGAAGGGGGCUAGCGUUGUUCGGAAUUACUGGGCGUAAGGCGCACGUAGGCGGAUAUUUAAGUCAGGGGUGAAAUCCCAGAGCUCAACUCUGGAACUGCCUUUGAUACUGGGUAUCUUGAGUAUGGAAGAGGUAAGUGGAAUUGCGAGU
rnacentral:rRNA from 1 species